rnacentral:rRNA from 1 species
CGGACGGGUGAGUAACGCGUGGGUAACCUGCCUCGCACAGGGGGAUAGCAGUUGGAAACGACUGAUAAUACCGCAUAAGCGCACAGUACCGCAUGGUACAGUGUGAAAAACUCCGGUGGUGUGAGAUGGACCCGCGUCUGAUUAGCUUGUUGGCGGGGUAACGGCCCACCAAGGCAACGAUCAGUAGCCGACCUGAGAGGGUGACCGGCCACAUUGGGACUGAGACACGGCCCAG